ACGGGUGAGUAACGCGUGAGCAAUCUGCCUUUAAGAGGGGGAUAACAGUCGGAAACGGCUGCUAAUACCGCAUAAAGCAUUAAAUUCGCAUGUUUUUUGAUGCCAAAGGAGCAAUCCGCUUUUAGAUGAGCUCGCGUCUGAUUAGCUAGUUGGCGGGGUAACGGCCCACCAAGGCGACGAUCAGUAGCCGGACUGAGAGGUUGAACGGCCACAUUGGGACUGAGACACGGCCCAGACUCCUACGGGAGGCAGCAUG
rnacentral:rRNA from 1 species